GGCAGGAAGGCGCAGGGUGCGUGUUGGCUUCUCAUGGACCGUUUCUGAAAGGAUAAAGCCGAAGGUCCCCGUUCGACUCGGGGUCCUGCCA